GAUGAACGCUAGCGGCGGGCCUAACACAUGCAAGUCGAGGGGUAACUAGAGUGAUAGCAAUAUUACUUUUGCUAGACCGGCGCACGGGUGCGUAACACGUAUGCAACCUACCUUAUACUGGGGAAUAACUUCGAGAAAUCGGCGCUAAUACCCCAUAACACUGCGGAGAGGCAUCUCUUUGCAGUUAAAGCUCCGGCGGUAUAAGAUGGGCAUGCGUCCAAUUAGCUAGUUGGUGAGGUAACGGCUCACCAAGGCUACGAUUGGUAGGGGUUCUGAGAGGAUGAUCCCACACACUGGUACUGAGACACGGACCAGACUCCUACGGGAGGCAGGAGUGUGGAAUAUUGCGCAAUGGACGAAAGUCUGACGCAGCCAUGCCGCGUGCAGGAUGACGGCCCUAUGGGUUGUAAACUGCUUUUGUACAGGAAUAAACCCUUCUACGUGUAGGAGGCUGAAGGUACCGUAAGAAUAAGCACCGGCUAACUCCGUGCCAGCAGCCGCAGUAA
rnacentral:rRNA from 1 species